AUUGAACGCUGGCGGCAGGCCUAACACAUGCAAGUCGGACGGUAGCACAGAGAGCUUGCUCUUGGGUGACGAGUGGCGGACGGGUGAGUAAUGUCUGGGGAUCUGCCCGAUAGAGGGGGAUAACCACUGGAAACGGUGGCUAAUACCGCAUAACGUCGCAAGACCAAAGAGGGGGACCUUCGGGCCUCUCACUAUCGGAUGAACCCAGAUGGGAUUAGCUAGUAGGCGGGGUAUGGCCCACCUAGGCGACGAUCCCUAGCUGGUCUGAGAGGAUGACCAGCCACACUGGAACUGAGACACGGUCCAGACUCCUACGGGAGGCAGCAGUGGGGAAUAUUGCACAAUGGGCGCAAGCCUGAUGCAGCCAUGCCGCGUGUAUGAAGAAGGCCUUCGGGUUGUAAAGUACUUUCAGCGGGGAGGAAGGCGGUACGGUUAAUAACCGUACCGAUUGACGUUACCCGCAGAAGAAGCACCGGCUAACUCCGUGCCAGCCGCCGCCGUAA
rnacentral:rRNA from 1 species